rnacentral:tRNA from 1 species
GUCCAGAAAAUCAGUUCGGUAGAGCAUUAGGCUUUUAACCUAAGGGUCCUGGGUUCGAGUCCCAGUUCGGGCG